GGCAGCCAGUGAGCGGAACACUUGUGAUCCGUGUCACGGAGCUGCUGCCGCCGCUGAGCCUCCGGGGUCCACCGGGAAGCUUCCGCCGCCGAGCUGGGGACAGUCCCGGGCUGAGUCUCCACAAUGAGCCGGGCUCCACACACCGACCGCCCGCUCCGCACUUGAAGCAGACCGGGCUAACGUGGCGCUCGGUGACAUUUUGAACGGGGUGUAUUUUUGUUUUUUUCGUGACACCCUCCCUCCUGAAGGACGAAUGACAGCGGCUCACCCCGUGAUUUCAUCCCGCUAAAAGCUCCGGCGAGGACCGACAGCUUCUUCAUGGCGUCCCCUCAACAGUCCAGGAUUCAGUCGUACCUGGAGAGGAACAAGAUCGGACCCUUGUUCGAGGAGUUGAUGACCAAAUUGAUAACUGAGACCCCAGACCAUCCAAUCCCUUUUCUCAUUGAUCACCUGCAGACCAAGCAAGUCAGCCCCGGCAAGCUGCACAGAGCUCUCUCUGGCUCCGCAGCCUUGUGGGCACAGAGCUCCCCAGAAAGCAAAAACACUCGAAGGGAGUACAGCAGCUAUGAGAAGCCAUGGCAAAUUCACCCAAAGAAACCGAAGAAAUCCAAGAGCGACCUGGCCAUGUCGAGUAUCUCUCCUCCUUCACCAGAAUCCAAGUCUCUGCCGCGGUCAGUCGAGUGCCCCGCGUGGGACUGGAGGGAGAGUCGGGACUUUGACGAACUCAGCCACAUUUUGCAGGAGAGCAAGAAGCUGGGCAAGGCCCUGGAGAGCCUUUCUCGCAGCAUUGCCAUCUCUGACGAGCUCGACCAGAACUUGGGAGGUUAUAACUCAGUGUUGCGCCCCCGUGUGGUUGGGGAGUGGGUUGGUCGAGAGGAAGAGGACGCAGACCCACUUGCUGCUGAAAUGCUGCACCCCCCUGUCCCUCGGACCAAAACUGAAGUUUGCUGGAGUGGAGACAGCAGUCCUGCUCGGAGCCUCAAGAUGGAAACAAAGAGCAAAGGGCUGAAGGAACAGCAGCAGCAUCAUAAGAAGCUCCUGGCAGCCAUGUUGUCCCAGGACUCGUUUGACUCGGUUCACAGUCCGACCCCCUCUGUUGCAGAAGAAGAGAUGGAGGAUGAGGACGAUGCCAUGGAGCUUCUGGAGGACCUGGAUGACCUGCGGAUGGAGGGCGUAACGGGCUUGGCUCCAUCCGGCAGUAAAUUCAGCCAGGGACGCAGCUCCUAUCAGCCUGAACCGCAGGCCAAAGUUACACUCAACAUUUGCUCUAGGUGUGCCAGGUUGCAAGGGGACAGUCUAUCAGAUAGCAGAUCUGAAGAGGAGCACAGGACUUGCAUAUCUGAACAAGCUGUACCUGAUAUCUCCUCUCCAUUGCCCGGUCUGGACACGGUGGCGGGACGGUUGCAGGAAUGCGAGGCCUCGUCUCAAGUAUCAGGCUCUCGUCAGGCUGUCUGGGAGGCUGAUCUGAAGGCUGUGAGAGGUGGGACCUCUGUCGGGCAGACGGGCCUGCUACUGGGCGACUCCCUCUUUUCUAAGGAGCUGGAGAACAUGGGCAAACAGCUCGCUGAGGUUGAGAAGGAUCUGGCCAAGCUGGCAGAAGUAGGGAAGAUGACCAACUGGAGCUCAAAUAACGUGCACAGUAGUCUGCUCCACACCCCUCUGCGCCACAGAACACUGCCCGACACGCUUCCUCUCCCCAGCCUCGUCUCCAGGCCGCAGUCUCCCGCCAGCAGCCUCUCGAGCAAGCCCUGUGGCGUAGGUCUCCCUUUGCUCAGCCCCAAGCCCACCUCCCUGGUCAUGGGUCGGACUCAAUCUCCCAGCAACCCUGGGAGCAGGACUCAAACCCCCAGAACACCCAGCAGGCCUCUGACCCCAAAUAGUUUACUGACACGCUCCACCUUUAACCCCGGAUCUCAUAAAGAGGUGACCUUCAGGAGGUCGCGAAGCCGCCCUGUGACGCCAACGAGUCAGCCCAUGCACCCCCGACCGCUGCUCACCCCUCCAGGACUAAGCACGACAGACAGCCUCGGUGCCAGCCUACGGGCCUAUCUGUCUGAGGAUGAGUUUUACCAGCAGUUACAGGCCAUCAGACAGCCCUGGCACAUCCCCAGUGACACAGACAGUGACAUCCUGGAGCCUCCUGAACAGGACAAGAGUGGUGCCCGAGAUGCCAGUAAAAGAUCUGUGUUUUCAGGUGAGAAUCUGACCAGUUAGAGGCGUCACAGCCUAAAGUCCACAAAGAAAGAUUCACCUCAUGAUGUGCUGCGUCCCAUGAUUCUCCAAGAACGACUCCAGUCUUACUUCUGUCACUGCCUAUAGUGACGGAAGACCAGGGACAUUGAUCCAAUCAAACUAUUAUGCAAACCACUGGACAUUUUGAAUAUGUGUAUAGAGACGAUUAUUUUUGUAAUUCACACGAAUGAGAAAAAAGAUUGUAUACUUUUUUUCACAGAUAUUUCAUAAACAUUGUACUGUAACUGUAUGAUAAAAAGUGAAAAUAUGACAUCAGAGUAUGGAAUACAACAUUUAUUUUUGUUUGCUCUAUUGCAUGCUAUUGAACCUCCGUGUGGAGUGUAGAAGCAGAUGCAUUUUGUUGUUGACAGACUCUUUUUCUUGGCCUAGUGCAUAUUCUCACUGUGAGGGCAGCACAGCCAUGUUAGGAAAACAUUUAUCGAUACGCACUGUUAAAAGAUGUAGUGAUUUCCAAAUAAUACGCUAGUCGUAGAAGGAACACAAG